UGCUAAAUCUGGGGAAUCCUCCACAAUAGCAAAAGAACUAAUGGCCCUUCCUGCUGAGAACUUAUCAUGUCACUAUGCAGAGGUGAUAUGUGUAUCGAAGUCCCAACAAAUCGUUUACAAGUAACAGUUUGAAUAAGCGGGUACGAACGGGCAGUAACAAUACAGGAAUGAAGUAUGAACUAUUUCAACAUAAUCUAAUCAAUUGAUGCAUGGUUCUACUUGGUACAAUCAUGCAUGGUUCUUCACUAACUCAUCUCAGUACACCUCUUUUCAACUAAAGAUUUCCUUCUCAUGCAACCAAAAUCAAUAUGUACGCAUGACAACUACGAUCCUCAACUUGUUAUAGGAAAGCUUAUUUUAACUUCUCCCCCUGGUAGACUCCCACUCCUAGAUGAUUUUGCUUAUAAUUAUGAUUUCGAUUAAGAACCUUUGAACUAUAAUAAUCAACCAAUGAAGUGGAAACAGUAAUAAAAAUCUCAUUAUGACUCGUAAUAAUUCCUGUUAAUUGCAUUAGGACUCAUCAAAAAAAAAAUUACAGUAACAACAAUAUCAUUAGAACUCGUACUAAUUAUUGUUAAUUGCAUAAGGACUCAUCAGCAAAAGUUCUUGUUAGCUUUCAUGGUCUGUCUUGCACAUGAUAACCUUCUUAAGAGUUUUUAAAACCCAUUAGUGCAUCUUAUUUAGCUGAAGCAGAGAAUUGCCAAAGACUCUCCUGGAAAAAAAAUGACGGAUGGAGUAUCUUUCAAAAUUCAAAUGACAUACAUUUAAUGUCAAUCAUCACAACAAGUCAACAAUGCACUAUUCCUUGUUCCAACCAUGAAGUUUAAACAAAUAAAAUUUAGCCUCCCAAAAUUCAAGAUCACCCGUAAAGCCAUGUAAAAAUACUGCUAAGAAAGCACUAAUUUGAUCAAAUGUAAUAUCCUCAUAAAAUCACUACCUUCCAAAAUAUACUUCAUGCAAUUGACUGUACGAUAUGCUGCAUGAGAGAUGUAGCUUUCCUACAAAGUGAAUGAAAGAUGCUAAAAGCUUAAGGAAGUCAACUUUUCAUGAUGUGUUACAAGCAUGAAAUAAAACCAGAGUUGGACACAAUCUAAUCAACAAACCUAAGUAUUUAAUUGUGCAGUUUACUUUUUUCGAUUCAGUUUGAUGAAAGCAUAUCUUCUCCCCCUGCCAUGCAAUUGAAUUUAUUGGCCAAAGGCAGCGAAAUCAUAGUCAUUUUCAUCCCCCCUCCUAAAUUAUUUUCUCACCCUAAAUAGUCUAGUUGCCAUAGUCACUUCUAUAAAUACAUACAAUGUCUCAAAGUUCAAAAGUUUUCAGCAACCACAAAAGUUUAUCUUCAUAACCAAAUUGAUCGGGAUCAACCAUGUGAAUACCAUAGACAAUUCUAGAUAAAAACUUCCUGUCUAAGUUACAACUUACAAAAAAGCUGUGAAUUCAACAGCAAUGAACUUCUUUAACUUACCAGCAUAAUAACAUAAACCUAAGACAUUAAAAUUUGAACUUCAUUUGUCAAC
rnacentral:misc_RNA from 1 species